GUUAAAAAGCUCGUAGUUGGAUUCCUGUACAGAAGUGGUUCCCUUACCCUUUGGAUGGGGGUUACUACAUUCUUUACAUCUUCCAUAGUAGGUGUUCUUCACUUAACUGUGCGGACAUCAUACUCUGGGCAUUUACUUUGAGGAAAUGAGAGUGCUUCAAGCAGGCAAACGCCUGAAUACAUAGCAUGGAAUAAUAGCAUCGGAUCAUCGUGCAGCUUCUGGUGUCUGAACGAAGAUAAAGGUGAACAGGGGUUGUUGGGGGCAUUCGUAUUUAACUGUCAGAGGUGAAAUUCUUGGAUUUGUUGAAGACGAGCUACUGCGAAAGCAUUUGCCAAAGAUGUUCUCAUUGAUCAAGAACGAAAGUUAGGUGAUCGAAGACGAUCAGAUACCGUCCUAGUCUUAACCAUAAACUAUGCCAACUGGAGAUGGGGCGUGUUUACACUUCGACUCUUCCCGCAUCUUGAGAGAAAUCAAAGUCUUUGGGUUCCGGGGGGAGUAUGGUCGCGAGGCUGAAACUUAAAGGAAUUGACGGAAGGGCCCCACCAGGAGUGGAGCCUGC
rnacentral:rRNA from 1 species